ensembl:lncRNA
CGCAGUUGGCAUUAAUGGUAGCAUCAAAUUAGCCAUCCUUUAAGAACUUCGCUCCCGUGCCAGAAGCAAAAGAGGUUGUCCUAAUUUGAACCAUGCCAAAUAGGGCAUUCGGCCAUGAGAAAUUACUGAAGAGCUGGGGGAAAAAAAAAAAAACAACCCACACCAAAGCUGUAAUCAAAGCCUGUGUAUGGAAUCCAUCGAUCGGUCCGAACAGUGAGGGAUUGGUCCUGGAUGGCAGAGCCAGAGCCCAGGCUCCUCACAGCUCCUCGGGAACUUAAGACUCGCAAGCCUGAGCUCACCCCUGGGACUGUCAGCGAGAGGUGCCCUGGUAUCACCAGGGAGCAUGGAGACCUCCAUGGCCAACAGGAUGGGCGCUCCCUUGGCAAGUGCUGUUCCUCUGGGCAGUGACAAGGCCAUGAUCCCCAGGGAGCAGAGGUCUGACAGCCACCCACUUACUCCAACUGGGAAAAUGAAACAACACAGAGAAACUGGAGGGAGGGAUGAG